GGUGGCUCAGUGGUAGAGCACUUGCCUUGCAUGCAUGAGGUCCUGGGUUCCAUUCCUCAGCACCA
rfam:Dipodomys ordii contig_61502, whole genome shotgun sequence.